UACAGAGACUGCAAGCGUUAUUCGGAUUCACUGGGCGUAAAGGGUGCGCAGGCGGCCAAGUGUGUGAGGCGUGAAAGCCCGGGGCUUAACCCCGGAAUUGCACCUCAAACUACAUGGCUAGAGCAUUGGAGAGGGUAGCAGAAUUCAUGGUGUAGCAGUGAAAUGCGUAGAUAUCAUGAGGAACACCUGCGGCGAAGGCGGGUUGCUGGGCCGACACUGACGCUGAUGCGCGAAAGCCAGGGGAGCGAACGAG
rnacentral:rRNA from 1 species